rnacentral:misc_RNA from 1 species
UGAUGGUAUCUAUGUCAGCGAGAAGGGUAAAAUUGUCGAAGAAGAAUGAGUAUUUUAGAAGUAGGCAUGUUGGUGAUGGACCAUAUCCCAAAUCCUCGUUUUACCAUUUCUUUCAAGUUUUUUUGGAGACCAUAUAUUACAGACUUGUUUGAAUUUCAGUUUUCUAGUUCUUGUGUUGAAAUUUUGUUGACAAAGUGGCCUUGGUGGUUCUUUCAAUUACACCAAAUGUUUCUGUUCUCGUUAUCUUUUGAGUGAAAAUUGUUAAAUCCCAAGUUGCAACUAUGUUAUAUAUAUCAUAGCUUUUGAAUUUUG